UUUGCCAUCUUUUUUGAAUUUUUGUUGUUUGUUUAAUGUUUGGUAUAUUUUUAAUGUUAAAUAAGAAUUCUGCUUAUUAGAACAUAACAUUAACAUAGGAAGUCAAUAAUAAUUAUUUCAUUUAAGUAUUUGGUGAUGAUUUGGUGAAUAUUGUUCUGUGUGGCCUGUUCUGCAGUCUGCUACAAUUCAAAGUAUGGCUGUUGCAUCGAGUAACAAACAAUCAUCAGGCCUUCCAUAUUUCGGGAUUAACGACCAUGGAGAAAAACCAUCACAAUGGAUAUCCAGUAAAUAUUUAGUAAUCUUAUUUGGCUUCUUCUUAUUGUUAGCCUUUGUGACUAUAGUUAUUGAAAAUGAUUUGCCUUAUCCUACUAGAGAAAGGGAUAUUUCUAAGGAUGAUGCAGACACCUUCAGUGAGGAGUCAGCGAGAAAGUAUCUUGAGGAAAUACUUGGAAACCAGCCAAGGGUAUCCGGCACUGUUUACCAUUUUGUAAAAACUAGGGAUCUUAAAGAGCUGGUUGACAGUAUAGCUAGGUUUGCAAAACUGCCUGUACAUACAGAUUGGCAAUAUGUUGAUGGGGAUUAUUGGCUGGCCUCUGUCUCACCCCACGUGAAUGUCUAUCAGAACCUUUCAAACAUCAUCGCGGUAUUGGAAGGGGAGAGUGGAUUUAAUCGUGACGGAACUACUGGCACUUCUAUUCUAGUCAAUUGUCAUUAUGACUCUGUGCCUUUUGCUAUGGGCGCCUCUGAUAAUGGUGUCUUUUGUGCCAUAAUGGCGGAAACAUUGUCUAAACUAUCUCGAAGAAAAAACAAGUUGAAACACAACAUCAUAUUCCUCUUCAACGGUGCAGAAGAAAACGUCCUACUUGGAAGCCAUGGGUUCCUUAGUCAUCCGUGGGCCAAAGGUGUCAUCAGUGUUAUAAAUCUGGAUUCUGCAGGGAUGAAUGGAAAACCAAAUGUUUUUCAGGUGACAGACCCGAGAGUACUAGAAAUAUACCGAAAAACUAGUAGGCGACCAACGGCACAAGGCAUGGGUGAAUUCUUGUUCAGUACAGGAAUCAUACCCUCAGAUACUGACUUCCGGAUAUGGAGGGACUUUGGAAAUAUCACGGGUAUCGACAUAGCGUUUAUAAAAUGGGGUAACGUGUAUCACACUCGGAACGACAAACCGGAGCUGAUAAAGGACGGGGUCAUACAGAACGCGGGAGACAUGCUCCUGAACCUCGUCAGGGAAGCGGCUGAUUGCCAGGAAUUGAAUGUUACGGAGCCAGUGUCAACAGCUGUGUACUUUGACUACCUGGGGCUGUUCCUGCUGACAUACUCGAAAACGGUCGCGCUCGUGCUGGAUGUGUUAGUUGGCUUGCUGGGCUUAUUGACCGUCGGCUAUUUCUUGUGGCUUUUUGGACUUAGAUGGUCGUCAAUGGGUGAGCUGUUGUGGUCGGCGACGAGUCGCGUGGUGUGCGCGGCGGCCGGUCUUGCGGCUGUCGCGCUGUGUACAGCCUUUAUGAUCGCGGCCACCAAGCAAAUGAGGUAUUUAUCGGAACAUUGGAUCGUAGUGCCAUUCUAUUGGGUGCCAUAUUUGGUCGCGUCCGUAGCUGCGUCACACGCGUUUGAAGCUUGGAGAAGUCGGAAGACAAGUCUCAGCCGUUCCAUUCGCACGUCGCAAGCUAUGUCCGCGACCCGGCUGCUGAUCUCGUUAGUUCUGUUGGUCCUCUGUUGUUUCCCAAGUUUGUCUAAUGUGAGGUAUUUAAUCACGACCCCUCUGCUCGUGAUGUCAGUUGCCAGUGUCGUCACUAUGUCUGCAGUGCGGUACGGAAGAAUCAAAGCAUUGCAACACCUUUUACUGGAAAUCCUGUUGAAUGCUCCUGCUACAAUGAUAGCGUUUUCUCUGGCGUCCCGCUUCAACUCUCUGCUUAUUCCGAUAAUGGGUCGCUCGGCCGCCGAAUACCCGGACGCGAUCAUCGCAGCCGCCAAUGCCGCGGUUGUGAUCCUUGCUGCUUGUACUGUGUCUGGAAUCGAACUCCUCUUCUCACGCAGACGUCUUUGGACCAUUUUGGGCGGUGUUUCUCUAGUAUCUUUUAUUAUAAUGCUCAUCCCAUUCAGUCCAUACCGUGAUGAAAAUACUAUACAGAGGCAUUAUUGGUUUCACACACAAAUAACAUCUUUCGAUUUGAAUUCGAUAGCAACAGAGAGUGUUUCAGGCGUCUUUAUUACUAAAUUAGACGUUUACAACGUACAAUCCGCUCUGUCGGCAAUCAAAAAUAGUGAUCUGUACCUAAAAGACAGCCAGAUUGUCGGACAAGACGGCCAAGUCACCGAAAAAGACACCCAAGUUAUCGGGAAAAACAACCAAGUUACCGAAAAAGACAGCCUACAUUUACACAUCAAAGAUAGUGACUUGAAAAUAAUAGAUGAAGACUGUGACAAGUUACUGUACUGCGAUAUGCCAAUGUUCCGACCGCGGUUUGAAAAGCUUAUGAAAAACAGCCUGUUCGUAAAGAUGGGACCUCCGGCGCAGUUCACACAUUCUCUGAAGUUAAUUAAGCGCACCUGCGUUGAGGACGUGUGCUCUUUAAGUUUUCAAAUGGAUGGCCCCGCCCACAACGCAAUAACAAUAUGGCCGCGACAGAACGUGAACAUCACAAGUUGGUCAUUUAAUUCCCCUCUAAAGGAAACUUUAACAUUUCAAGGCAGACCGGUGUACACCAUCAUACAUUCUACAGGGACGUACACAGAGUUCUUUGAGCCUUUAAUAUUCACUUUAAACUUAAUUGUAUCAAAUCAGACCAGUGUCCUUUUGGACAUUUCACACCACGCCCAUAAGAUCCACCAUCCAGACGACUUCAUAGACGAAUACAGGCAGCUGCUUGAAGUUAUGCCAGAAUACUUCAAUAUAGCCACAUUUUUGAGUUUCAAGAGUAAUUAUGUAUUUUAAGAAAAAUCGAUCAAGUGCGAAUUGGACUUGCACACGAAGGGUUCCGCACUAUAAACGAGAAAAAACUUUAAUUUUCAUGGCGGCCAUUUUUAAAUUUUUAUUAGUUGUUAUAACGGCAAUAGAAAUACAUUCUGUGAAAAUUUCAUCUUUCUACUUAAGACAGUUCACAAAAUGCAGUCCACUGACAGACAGACGGAUAGACGAACAGCGAAGGCUUAGUUGGCACCCUUUCCGUACGGAACCCUGAAAACUGUUCUUAUUGAGACUGAAGAAUAGCACAGACUGAGUCUACUAAAUAAUAAUUGUGUGGUUUUUUAAAUCUCUAGAACUCUAAUUUCUGGUCUCCGGGAUGCAAGUUAUGUCUGUACCUUUCGCCAAAAAAUGGAAAGAUGACGAACAGACAGACCCACUUUAACAUUGUUUAGUAUUGAUAAAAAUAUUUUAUUUUUUAGUUUGCUGGUGGCUAACCUACGUUAAUACCUCAAUGGUGACGAAUUGUAAUGUUAGGGGCCUCAUUAUAUUAUGCGUAUAACUGGGCAAGACGCCAAAUGACAAUUAAUUCCUCGCGUCUUUUCCGUUCGCUUGGAAUUCCCGUAGAUUUGUCCCUAGCGUAAUGUGAUUUUUUCUCACUUUAGUGUUGUUACUGAGCUGGUUUCUCUUUCGCGCACAUUCAAAAUUAAUAAUAAUUACUUAAGUAAUUUUUUUUACUAUUACCUUCUGUCCAGUUAAGUUAUUUAAUUGUAGACUUAUGAACAAAGUGAAAUGUGAGAUUAUGGUUGAGGAUAGGUACUUAAUAAUAUGAGAAAUAAAACUAUUGAAUCGUU